rnacentral:rRNA from 1 species
CUCAGGACGAACGCUGGCGGCGUGCCUAAUACAUGCAAGUGGAACGCAUGAUUGAUACCGUAGCUUGCUACACCAUAAUCAUGAGUCGCGAACGGGUGAGUAACGCGUAGGUAACCUGCCUACUAGCGGGGGAUAACUAUUGGAAACGAUAGCUAAUACCGCAUAAGAGUUUUUAACACAUGUUAGAAAUUUAAAAGGAGCAAAUGCUUCACUAGUAGAUGGACCUGCGUUGUAUUAGCUAGUUGGUAAGGUAACGGCUUACCAAGGCGACGAUACAUAGCCGACCUGAGAGGGUGAUCGGCCACACUGGGACUGAGACACGGCCCAGACUCCUACGGGAGGCAGCAGUAGGGAAUCUUCGGCAAUGGGGGGAACCCUGACCGAGCAACGCCGCGUGAGUGAAGAAGGUUUUCGGAUCGUAAAGCUCUGUUGUAAGAGAAGAACGUUGAGUAGAGUGGAAAGUUACUCAAGUGACGGUAUCUUACCAGAAAGGGACGGCUAACUACGUGCCAGCCGCUGC